CCUACGGGGGGCUGCAGUCGAGAAUUUUUCUCAAUGGGGGAAACCCUGAAGGAGCGACGCCGCGUGGAGGAUGAAGGCUUUCGGGUUGUAAACUCCUGUCAUUUGAGAACUAGUAUCAGAAGAGGAAGGGACGGCUAACUCUGUGCCAGCAGCCGCGGUAAUACAGAGGUCCCAAGCGUUGUUCGGAUUCAUUGGGCGUAAAGGGUGCGUAGGUGGCGCCGUAAGUGGGGUGUGAAAUCUCGGGGCUUAACUCCGAAACUGCAUUCCAUACUGCGGUGCUUGAGGACUGGAGAGGAGACUGGAAUUCAUGGUGUAGCAGUGAAAUGCGUAGAGAUCAUGAGGAAGACCAGUGGCGAAGGCGGGUCUCUGGACAGUCCUGACACUGAGGCACGAAGGCCAGGGGAGCAAACGGGAUUAGAUACCCCUGUAGUC
rnacentral:rRNA from 1 species